rfam:Ruminococcus sp. SR1/5 draft genome.
CGAAUCCUGGAAUGUUCGAUCCCCCUUUUCUUUUUGAACCUACAUUGACAUUUUGGGAAUCCAAAAUCGCAGGUUGGAUGUCAGACCUCACGUCGUGGUAGGCAGAAGACACUGUUGAGGAUACCCACCUAGCAUCUGCUAGGCGUCAAAAAUAAGGGAACGGCAUCCCGGGAUUAAU